AGUCGUAACAAGGUUUCCGUAGGUGAACCUGCGGAAGGAUCAUUAGUGAAUAAACAGGGUGUCCAAUUUAACUUGGAGCCCAACCUUCUCACUUUCUAACCCUGUGCAUCUGUAUCUAACGGUGAGCUGCCUUCGGGUGGCGAGCCUUCACUUUAAAACACCAAGUCUAUGAAUGUAUAUAAUCAUAACUAUAUAAAAACUUUCAACAACGGAUCUCUUGGCUCUCGCAUCGAUGAAGAACGCAGCGAAAUGCGAUACGUAAUGUGAAUUGCAGAAUUCAGUGAAUCAUCGAAUCUUUGAACGCAUCUUGCACUCUCUGGUAUUCCGGAGAGUAUGUCUGUUGGAGUGUCAUGAAUUCUUCAACCCCACCGUUUCUUGCAAACGCGUGGGUGCUUGGAUUCUGAGCGCUGCUGGCUUCGGCCUAGCUCGUUCGUAAUGCAUUAGCAUCCCGAUGACAAGUUUGGAUUGACUUGGCGUAAUAGACUAUUCGCUGAGGAGUAAGUGGCCUUCGGGUUACUGAGCCAACUCGUUUCAGGAAGCUUCUAAUCCCUAAAGUCUACCUUUUAGAUUAGAUCUCCAAUCAGGCAGGAUUACCCGCUGAACUUAAGCAUAUCAAUAAGCGGAGGAAAAGAAACUAACAAGGAUUCCCCUAGUAGCGGCGAGCGAAGCGGGAAAAGCUCA
rnacentral:misc_RNA from 1 species